GGACCUGCCCAGUGAUGUAAUACAUUUAACGGCCGCAGUACCCUGACUGUGCAAAGGUAGCAUAAUCAUUUGCCCUAUAAUUAAGGGCUAGUAUGAAUGGUUUGACAAGAACAUGACUGUCUCUUGUGGGAUAAUUAAAAAUUAAAUUUUAGGUGAAGAUGCCUAAAUAUAACUAAAAGACGAGAAGACCCUGUUGAGCUUUAAAAACUCUAAGGGAAUCUAAAAGGUUUUUUUGGUUGGGGCGACCUAAGAACAUAUAAAGCUUCUUUUAUUAUUUGAGACAUUUAGUUAUGAUCCAAUAAAAUUGAUUAAUAAAAUAAGCUACCACAGGGAUAAC
rnacentral:rRNA from 1 species